UACAGAGGGGGCAAGCGUUGUUCGGAAUUACUGGGCGUAAAGGGCGCGUAGGCGGCCUGUUAAGUCGAACGUGAAAUCCCCAGGCUCAACCUGGGAACUGCGUCCGAUACUGGCAGGCUUGAAUCCGGGAGAGGGAUGCGGAAUUCCAGGUGUAGCGGUGAAAUGCGUAGAUAUCAGGAGGAACACCGAUGGCGAAGGCAGGUCUCUGGGCAUUAACUGACGCUGAGGAGCGAAAGCAUGGGGAGCGAACAGG
rnacentral:rRNA from 1 species